AACGUACGCUGGCGGCACGCCUAACACAUGCAAGUCGAACGAAGUAGCAAUACUUAGUGGCAGACGGGUGAGUAACAUGUAGGUAUCUGCCCUUUGGCCUGGAAUAACACGAGGAAACUUGUGCUAAUACCGGAUAAGUCUUUACGGAGAAAGCUUUAUGCACCAUUGGAUGAGCCUGCACUUGAUUAGUUUGUUGGUGGGGUAAUGGCCUACCAAGACUGUGAUCAAUAGCUGAUUUGAGAGGAUGAUCAGCCACAUUGGGACUGAGACACGGCCCAAACUCCUACGGGAGGCAGCAGUGGGGAAUCUUGCACAAUGGAGGAAACUCUGAUGCAGCGAUGCCGCGUGAGUGAAGAAGGCCCUUGGGUUGUAAAGCUCUUUCGUCGGGGAAGAAAAUGACUGUACCCGAAUAAGAAGGUCCGGCUAACUUCGUGCCAGCAGCCGCGGUAAUACGAAGGGACCUAGCGUAGUUCGGAAUUACUGGGCUUAAAGAGUUCGUAGGUGGUUGAAAAAGUUAGUGGUGAAAUCCCAGAGCUUAACUCUGGAACUGCCAUUAAAACUUUUCAGCUAGAGUAUGAUAGAGGAAAGCAGAAUUUCUAGUGUAGAGGUGAAAUUCGUAGAUAUUAGAAAGAAUACCAAUUGCGAAGGCAGCUUUCUGGAUCAUUACUGACACUGAGGAACGAAAGCAUGGGUAGCGAAGAGGAUUAGAUACCCUCGUAGUCCAUGCCGUAAACGAUGUGUGUUAGACGUUGGAAAUUUAUUUUCAGUGUCGCAGGGAAACCGAUAAACACACCGCCUGGGGAGUACGACCGCAAGGUUAAAACUCAAAUGAAUUGACGGGGACCCGCACAAGUAGUGGAGCAUGUGGUUUAAUUCGAAGAUACGCGCAGAACCUUACCAACACUUGACAUGUUCGUCGCGACUCUAAGAGAUUAGAGUUUUCGGUUCGGCCGGACGAAACACAGGUGCUGCAUGGCUGUCGUCAGCUCGUGUCGUGAGAUGUUGGGUUAAGUCCCGCAACGAGCGCAACCCUCACUUUUAGUUGCCAUCAUUAAGUUGGGCACUCUGAAAGAACUGCCAGUGAUAAGCCGGAGGAAGGUGGGGAUGACGUCAAGUCCUCAUGGCCCUUACGUGUUGGGCUACACACGUGCUACAAUGGUAUCUACAACAGGAAGCAAGACUGCGAAGUUAAGCAAAUCCUUAAAAGAUACCUCAGUUCGGAUUGCACUCUGCAACUCGAGUGCAUGAAGCUGGAAUUACUAGUAAUCGUGGAUCAGCGUGCCACGGUGAAUGCGUUCCCGGGUCU
rnacentral:rRNA from 1 species